AUUCCGGGUUGAUCCUGCCCAUAGCCAUUGCCAGUGGAAUCACAUUUAGCCAUGCUAGUUGUACGAGUUCAGACUCGUAGCGAAUAGCUCAGUAACACGUGGCCAAACUACCCUUCGGACCACGAUACCCUCGGGAAACUGAGGUUAAUAGUGUACCCCACACUCAGACUGGAAUGUCGAGUGUGACAAACGCUCCGGCGCCGAAGGAUGUGGCUGCGGCCGAUUAGGUAGACGGUGGGGUAACGGCCCACCGUGCCAAUAAUCGGUACGGGUCAUGAGAGUGAGAACCCGGAGACGGAAUCUGAGACAAGAUUCCGGGCCCUACGGGGCGCAGCAGGCGCGAAACCUUUACACUGCACGCCAGUGCGAUAAGGGGAUCCCAAGUGCGCAGGCAUAGAGCCUGCGCUUUUGUCCACCCUAGGGAGGUGGACGAAUAAGGGCUGGGCAAGACCGGUGCCAGCCGCCGCGGUAAUACCGGCAGCCCGAGUGAUGGCCGAUCUUAUUGGGCCUAAAGCGUCCGUAGCU
rnacentral:rRNA from 1 species